GCCUGCUCUAUGUAAAAAUAAAAUGGCCGCAGAAUUCCUGUGCUAAGGUAGCAAAAUAAUUUGCCUUCUAAUUAUAGGCUAGCAUGAAAGGUUUUCCAUAUUGAUUUCUUUAUUAAAUAAAUUAUCUUAACUUAACUUUUUAGUAAAAAGGCUAAAAUCCUUUAAAAGGACGACAAGACCCUGACAAACUUCACUUUCUAGUUUUACUGGGGAGGUAUAAAAAAAUUGUCUUUUUUAUUAUAAAUAACAGAAAAAUUCUAUUAUUUUACAAGUUACUGCAGGGAUAACAGCAUAAUUUUUUCCUAAAGUCCUUAUAUAAGAAAAAGUUUAUGACCUCGAUGUUGAAUUAGAUAACUAAAAAGAGCAAAAUCUUUUUAAGUAAGUCUGUUCGACUUUUAAUUUUCUACAUGAUUUGAGUUCAGACCGGCGCAAGCCAGGUCGGUUUCUAUCCUUUUUCAUAAAUUUUUAGUACGAAAGGACCAAAAUUUAUUUUAUUUUC
rnacentral:rRNA from 1 species